rnacentral:misc_RNA from 1 species
CGACGGCAGCAAGGCAGGAGAGAGAAAAAUGGGUCUCAAAUUUUGAACGCUCGUAUUCGGUGAUCCCGACGUCCGAUCGGAGUGAUUCUAGCGGUUAUGGACUCUUGAUAGAGAGCUCUUUUAGAUGAGACCAGCCUCGUGGAAUUUGGUGGCCGUUUCUAGCGCCGUCAAAGAGAGAGAAAAUCGAUUUUUUUUUAACUUUCUGACGAGAUUUCUAACAAUCUGACUGUUGGAUCGACGACUAGAUGGACUCAAGAGGAGGAGGAGAGGAACAUUUGGUGUGACCAGUUCUGACAGAUAUUACCGACGACCAGUUACCAUGCACAGUGGCUCUUGUG